rnacentral:rRNA from 1 species
AGCAGCCGCGGUAAUUCCAGCUCCAAUAGCGUAUAUUAAAGUUGUUGCAGUUAAAAAGCUCGUAGUUGAACUUCGGGGUCUACUCAUUGGUCAGGCUUAGGGUCUGCACUGGUGGGAUGGAUCUCUACCUUCUGAGGAACUUUCAUGCCAUUUAUUUGGUGUGAUUGGAAAUCAGGACUGUUACUUUGAAAAAAUUGAGUGUUUAAAGCAGACUAUCGUCUGAAUACAUUAGCAUGGAAUAAUGAAAUAGGACGGACUGAUUCUAUUUCGUUGGUUCUAGGAUCACCGUAAUGAUUAAUAGGGGAUAGUUGGGGGCAUUGGUAUUCAAUUGUCAGAGGUGAAAUUCUUGGAUUUAUU